rnacentral:rRNA from 1 species
AGCUCCAAUAGCGUAUAUUUAAGUUGUUGCAGUUAAAAAGCUCGUAGUUGGAUUUCGGGUAGCCUUCAGCGGUCUCGCUUUGCGUUUGUACUGCUGCAGCCUGCCUUCUUGUCGGGGACGGGUUCACGGGCUUUAUUGCUUGGGACUCGGAGUCGGCGAUGUUACUUUGAGUAAAUUAGAGUGUUCAAAGCAGGCUUAGGCCGUUGGAUACAUUAGCAUGGAAUAAUGAGAUAGGGCCACCGCGGUCUAUUUUGUUGGUUUGCACGUUGUGGUAAUGAUUAACAGGAACGGUUGGGGGUAUUCGUAUUCAAUUGUCGGAGGUGAAAUUCUUGGAUUUGUGGAAGACGAACUACUGCGAAAGCAUUUACCAAGGAUGUUUUCAUUAAUCAAGAACGAAAGU